GACGAACGCUGGCGGCGUGCCUAACACAUGCAAGUCGAGCGGAGCCAUCUGAAUGAACCCUUCGGGGCGAUUUCGGGGAAGCUUAGCGGCGGACGGGGGAGUAACGCGUGAGUAACCUGCCCAUGAGAGGGCAAUAACACAACGAAAGGUGUGCUAAUACCGCAUAACAUACCUUUGUCGCAUGAAAGAGUUAUCCAAGAUUUAACGCUCAUGGAUGGACUCGCGUCUGAUUAGAUAGUUGGUGAGGUAACGGCUCGCCAAGUCGACGAUCAGUAGCCGAACUGAGAGGUUGAUCGGCCACAUUGGGACUGAGACACGGCCCAGACUCCUACGGGAGGCAGCAGUGGGGAAUAUUGCGCAAUGGGGGCAACCCUGACGCAGCAACGCCGCGUGAAGGAUGAAGGUCUUCGGAUUGUAAACUUCUGUUUUAAGGGACGAAAAUGACGGUACCUUAAGAGGAAGCCACGGCUAACUACGUGCCAGCCGCCGCUGUAAAAC
rnacentral:rRNA from 1 species